rnacentral:rRNA from 1 species
GUGUCUCGGAGUCGGGUUGUUUGGGAGCGCAGCCCAAAGUAGGUGGUAAACUUCAUCUAAGACUUAAUAUGACUACGAGUCCGAUAGCGAACAAGUACCGUGAGGGAAAGUUGCAAAGCACUUUGAAGAGAGAGUUAAAGAGGACGUGAAACCGAUGAGGUGGAAACGGACAGAGCUGGCGUAUCUGGCCUGCAUUCAGCCGCGCCCCGCUGGCGUCAGGGAUGCCGCUCUCCAGAUUGGGACGGUGGUCUGACUGCUCGGUGGGUUYCGUGGUGCAUUUGCAGGUGGAGUGCGCCGAGGCGCUCGGUGCAGCGRCAUGAGCUUGGCUUUGAGGCCAGCCUCGCAAGAGGUCUGGUACCCGGGCCAGGGGAGUGCUGUUUGCGCUGGGCGCAGCAAAGGGCAAUGGUCUCGGGCUCGUGUGGGUGCCGAGCUGGCGGUCGGCGUCGGUCGCGUGCGACACGUGCCWKCARUCAGUUCGGUCCUGCUCGAGCUCACAUCUGCUCGACCUCGGUGUAAAAGCCGGUCAUCUGUCCGACCCGUCUUG